rnacentral:lncRNA from 1 species
UUUUUUCAACGAAUUAUUCGCGAAUUGCGAAUAAUCCGCGAAUAAUUAUUUUUGGGAAAAAAAAUGUGUUUUUUUUCGAAUUUUUCGAAAAAAUACGUAUUCGACCGUUUAAUUCGUUUUUUCAAAAAUUCGUUAUUCGCAAAUUUACUAACAGAGUUUAGAAGAGGUGUUAAUUAAUAUUUUUAAUUUUGAAGGGUUCAGAUAA